CCCUUUCUGCCCUCUGCCAUGUGAGGUCACAGUGUUCCUCCCUCCUGAGGAUGCAGUGUUCAUGAAAGCAAACACUGGGCCCUCACCAGGCAACAAACCUGCUGGUGCCUUCAUCUUGGACUUCCCAGCCUUCGGAACUGUUAAGAAGCUCCACUGCGCUUUGUCCAUUGCAAGUUGAGAAGUGAGGCCCCAGCUGUCACAUACAGCUCCAUCACAAGAGGGAGCCCCAUUGCUAGUCCCCAUCCUCAAAGCCUCUGCGUGAUGUUGUCUACUGUUACUCUUCACUACCCUGUGGGAGCCAAAGCCCUGGACAUAAGAACAGAAGGCAAGCAGUGGUGGCUGAGAGGAAGAACUGACACCUUUGUGCUAUCAGAGCACUUUGCAGAGGAGCUGUUAGUGGCCCUGUAGGAGUCUGCUGGCCAUACAUCUGGGUGUCAAAUCAAGAGAGCAUGAGAAGUUGGACAGGAAAGGUCCAAGGCAAAAUGGUUACUAAAGGCCAUCCCUGAUCCUGACCCUAAAAGAAGAAAAGGCCCUUUGCUCUUGGCAUGCUUUUGCAGGAGUGUCUCAGUCUGUUUGGGCUGCUAUAACAUUGACUGGGUGAUCUGCCUGCCUGGCCUCCCAAAGUGCUGGGGUUACAGGUGUG
rnacentral:lncRNA from 1 species